AUUCCAACGCCUUAUCCUUGAGUAAUCAUGCUAAAUUGCUAAUUUGGUACUAGAAAAUAACUACUGUCUAUCGGCGCUUCAUUCAAAUUGCGCUGAAACUGCCCAAAAAGUGAUGUUUGUGGGGCUGGAACACCCAGUUUCCCACAGAUUAUUGGAGAGUGGGGCUUAUUUAAAUUUCCACCAGAUCGCUGCAUCAGGAAAAUUGCAGAAUUUUUUUAAGUGCUGUGGCUGUGACAGAUAUGAGGUCACAUAUGAUCUAACAAUGAUCUUAUCUGAUCAAGACCACCAUAUAACAGAGGAACAGAUCCCGUCUCCAUCACCGCAGAACAUGGACUGUUGAAAGGAUAAGUGAAUAAAAAUAAUAUAAUACAGCGAAAAUGAUGUUUGCCUUUAUUUUGAAUGCAGUAAAUAAUAUUAUUCAAUCGAAACAGCUGUUAUUAAGUUUUGAUAUGGAAUAUGAUCAUACUGAAGUAAGAAUAUUAUUAUUAAUUGUAUGUGGGUUAAUCAUUUAAGCAGUAAAGACACAUAUUGCAUGUCUAGCGGUAAUUUUUAUUUUUAUAUAUCACAUUUCUUAGGCUUUAGAGGCAUGUUAAACAUGUGAGGAUGUCUAAUUUUUUCUUACAUUUCCUGAAAGAUCAAGCGAUUUAAAUGUAAAAUGUGAGUUUGAUUUAUAAUAUUCGACUCAAACCAGAGGUGUUAGAUUACCAUAUUAGCUUGAAUUUCUACAAUAUAUGAUUAAAUGAAUCAUGAGGAUAGCUAUUAAAAGGAGUUUCAUCCACAUAUGAUGUUGUACUUUUAUGUUUAUUAAAAUAUAUUGUGUGAACCCUAGACUUCCUGUUCUGCUAAUUGUUAUUUGAUGUUUGUUUACUUUGCAGGAGUAGGAAAGUCCUCUCUUGUACAUUUACUUUGCCAGAAUCAAGUUUUGGGGAAUCCAUCAUGGACUGUUGGCUGCUCAGUGGACGACAGGGCGCAUGACUUCAGAAGGGCACUCCAGAAGAGAAGACUUUCUACAUUGAACUCUAGGAUGUUGGAGGAUCUGUUGGCAGUGCCAACAGUGUAAAAAGUUCCAGAGCUGACUCAACUGGGGCAGGGAGGUAUUGUUUUAGUUCAUGAUCUGACCAAUAAGAAAUCCUCCCAGAAUCUUUACCGCUGGUCACUGGAGGCACUGAGCAAAGACUCCUCGCCUACUGGGAUCAUCGUAUCUAAUGGGUAAUAGAGAAGAGAUACUUCACAAGAGACCCUAGGCAGAUGCAGAUUUUCACAGAUAGGAGGCGCUUCAAUUUCAAAAGUGACUGAAUGUAUGCACUUUGUAUGUUGAUGGGUUUUGUCCUGUCCACCACGACAAAAUGAUGAGUUUACCAUGACAGAAUGAUGUUUGUGGCUUGAUGAGAUAUCUCAUGUUCUGAUACAUUUUUGUUCUCAUAUUUUACUUUAAUUAUAUGGACCUAAUCCAAAAUUUCUUGCUUAGCACAGUGAUCAUUCAUUGGGAAUACCCUUUCACUUCCCUUCUGAUGUAUAACAUUUGUACUAAUGAGGUCACACAUGGACCCUACUAUAUUUUUGGUAAAAAGUAAACGAUAAUAAAUUUAUCCCUUUUUAUAGUAUCAUUUAAAGGGGCAUUCAGUAGUUCUCCAGCUAGCGUUAACAUUGCUCUUCUUCGUGUACUUUAAAUACUGAUGUGACAGCUGUGUUAGAUCCUGCACUGCCAUCUAUCAACGUGAAUCAGCAUGAUCGUCUCUGCUGCCCCCAUCAGCUCUGGAAUAUCAUUUGCAUCUGGAAAAUGUCAGAGUUUGAGGUAAUUUCUAAAGUUAUUUAUUACUACUAUAAUAUAAUUGCUUUGCCUAAAAAAACAAAAAAAAACAUCAGAAAUCAAGCGAACAUGCUUCUACUGUUAAGGACAGAUUAUUAUUGUCCCUCAUAUCAGUAAUCUUUGGAGACUGUCUAUGUUUCAUAUUAUUUCUAAAGAUAGUUAUUUCCUUUAUUAGAGAACUGCUCAGUGUAAAAUGAACCUCAUUAUCUAGCGAUACAGAAUGUCAUGGUAAAGGAAAGAUUAGAAUUGUUUUUGAUAAUUAAAUUUAACAUGUCCAUGAAUACUGUGUUUGACAAACUUUUUAUGUUUCAAAGCAACCAAUGUCAUGGUUUACACAAAAUCCACAACAAUCAUUGUGCCAAGCUACUUUGCACUAAACGAAUGAAGACGUAUUCCAUUUCAUAGAGCUGGAGGUAGAUGGGCAACCCUUACUAUAGCUGUGAUAACAAAGAAAAGAAAAUUACAUGUUGCUUUCUGGUUGCAUUUGUAAACUGCUGAAAACUAUCCAUUACUAACAUAUGUUGACUACACACGUCAUUUUAAAAAGUUUGAGGGAAACUUGUAUGAGUUUUCUGUAAAUUUCACUGAUACUAUUUUAGAGAGUGGUCUAAACAACUAAUAAUUCCUUACCUGUCCAACAAAAAAAGAAGCAACAUCGGCAUCACUACUCAUGUUUUUUUCCGUCAUCAAAUCUUUCCACCUUGUGUAUACCGUACCGAUGUUACUCUAGUUUUUUGCCUUUGCUGGUCUUUCUAUCUUCUUGCUUCAGACCUUUUUUUUUGCUUCUUUGGCAGUACAGCUACCGGAUUUCCCAUUGUCUCCGCUGCUAAAGCACGGUAAAUAUGUAUGUUCCAUUGAGUUCUUUUCACUCUUCACAUCACCAAACAACACUGCUCUAAGCAUAGCCAAGCCUAUGUACGUAGCCAGUGAGCGCAAGGAUUCUCUUCUUCAACGUUUAGUGAAACACCGCGAGUCAUACGAAUUCAACAUGGCAACAGACAUUGAGGGGGGUGACCCGCACCAUAUAUAAUAAAACACUUUUUUUAAGAAAACUAUUAUGAGUACAGUCUUCAUCUCAUGUGAGUGUUCACCAUUCAGAUCACUCUUCACAAAAACAUAACUCAUUUGUUAAUGUGUAAAACUUUUUAAAUUAGCCCAAAAUUACUGAAUGCACCUUUAAAGAGAGAUGUGUUUAUUUUAAUAAUUACCUGAGCCUACUUAUACUUCAUCUUUGUGAUUAGUCGGUUGCCAGUCAUUUGAAAGUAGAGAUGAACACACUCACUCAUAUAUUUAUAGUUUUUUAUUGUUGAUCUUUGUAAUUUAAAAAUAAUUUAAAAAGAUAGGUCUUUGCUAUAUUAGCAAGCUGCUCAUGUUAUGCAUGUACAUAGAGCUAUUUACUUGAAACAUCAACAAAAAAUA